rnacentral:rRNA from 1 species
UACGAAGGGGGCUAGCGUUGUUCGGAUUUACUGGACGUAAAGCGCACGUAGGCGGAUCGUUAAGUCGGGGGUGAAAUCCUGGAGCUCAACUCCAGAACUGCCUUCGAUACUGGCGAUCUAGAGUCCGGAAGAGGUGAGUGGAACUCCUAGUGUAGAGGUGGAAUUCGUAGAUAUUAGGAAGAACACCAGUGGCGAAGGCGGAUCUCUGGACGGCUAACUGACGCUGAGGCGCGAAGGCCAGGGGAGCAAACGGG